GGUCGCGUGGCUGAGCGGUCUAAGGCGCUGGAUUAAUGCUCCAGUCUCUUCGGGGGCGUGGGUUAGAAUCCCACCGCUGCCA
rfam:Danio rerio chromosome 6, GRCz11 reference primary assembly.